rnacentral:rRNA from 1 species
GACGAACGCUGGCGGCGUGCUUAACACAUGCAAGUCGAACGGAAAGGCCCUUCGGGGUACUCGAGUGGCGAACGGGUGAGUAACACGUGGGUGAUCUGCCCUGCACUUUGGGAUAAGCCUGGGAAACUGGGUCUAAUACCGAAUAGGACCACGCGCUUCAUGGUGUGUGGUGGAAAGCUUUUGCGGUGUGGGAUGGGCCCGCGGCCUAUCAGCUUGUUGGUGGGGUAAUGGCCUACCAAGGCGACGACGGGUAGCCGGCCCGAGAGGGUGACCGGCCACACUGGGACUGAGAUACGGCCCAGACUCCUACGGGAGGCAGCAGUGGGGAAUAUUGCACAAUGGGCGCAAGCCUGAUGCAGCGACGCCGCGUGAGGGAUGACGGCCUUCGGGUUGUAAACCUCUUUCAAUAGGGACGAAGCGCAAGUGACGGUACCUAUAGAAGAAGCACCGGCCAACUACGUG